rnacentral:rRNA from 1 species
ACGCGAGCUGGGUUCAGAACGUCGUGAGACAGUUCGGUCCCUAUCCGUCGCAGGCGUACGAAAUUUGAGAAGACCUGUCCUUAGUACGAGAGGACCGGGAUGGACGUACCUCUGGUGUACCAGUUGUCCUGCCAAGGGCAUGGCUGGGUAGCUAUGUACGGAAUGGAUAAGCGCUGAAAGCAUCUAAGCGCGAAGCCAACUUCAAGAUAAGAUUUCCCACCGAAAGGGUAAGACCCCAGAAAGACUAUCUGGUUGAUAGGUCGAAGGUGUAAGUACAGCAAUGUAUUUAGCUUAUCGAUACUAAUAGGUCGAGGACUUGACCA